rnacentral:lncRNA from 1 species
CGCAGGUGGAAUUCAUUCCAUAUCCGCAACUCCAACAGAGCAAGAAGUGAAUAUUGUUCUCGUCUAAGACCAAGUCUGUCUUCGUAUCGAGCAUCGUUUUCAAUUGAGCAAUAUGUCAGUUACUAAAAAAGUCAUUUUGUUUUUGGUAUUCUUCCUUGUUCUGUGCCAAGACUACUCAGCCUUCCGUCACCAUGCCAGUUACAACUGUUGUUGCUGGUUCAAGGCAAGUUAACUAUCCUCAUGGCUAUGUCUACCCAGCAGCUCAACAACCAAUGCCUGGUUAUGGGCCUCCACCGGCAUACUACCAACCACCACAGACACAGCCUCAGAAGUAAGAUAUUAUAUAGUUUAUCUUUAUUCUAUAUAGGGGGGACAAAUAGUUUGUUAUACAUGCACAAAUUUGUCAAAAAUGGAUAGGCGAAUGGGCGACCCCUAAAUUUGUAGGGAGUGCAGAGGAACAUUUUCCCCAACUGAAAUUUAAAAUACCGGUUAGCACAUAUACAUUAUACGUACAGCCUACAGGUUCAAGUUAACUUCAUGUUUUCGAAGGAAUAUAUUAACUAGGAAAAAAGCAUUAUCGAAAUAUUGAACACCGUAAAUAAUUAAUGUACCAUGAACAACAUGAGAUUAUUUUGGAGAAACGGAGAGCUUCAUUGUUCUACAGAGAAACUGCACUUUUCUUCGCUUUCUGCUUCGAAAUUCUACGCAGAACCUGCACGUUCCUGCGGAGAAGCUACAUAGUUCUACGUUUUAACUACACAGCUUGACGUUGUAACCGAGAAGCUACGCGUUUGUAUGAAGAACAUUCGGAUUUGCACGGAGAAACUGCAUUUCACAGGUACAAGUGAUAGAUUUGCACGGAGAAACUACAUUUCCACGUAGAGGCGAUAGAUUUUCUAAUUGGGGGUAGUGCAUAUAUAUUCAUAUAUUCUUGUUCUGCCCGACGGAUUUCUUUUAAAAGCGAUUGUUUUUUACGGCAUGUGGACAUGAAUAUAUGAAUAUACCCCCUCCCCCCCCCAAUUAUCGCGUUUAGUUACGGCCCUGCGGAGAAAAUAUAGUCCUUACGGGCCACCAUAGUCGUAGGCCAUACUAGUUGCCUACUGCUUUCCGAAAUUUCCGGUAAUGCGUUUUCGAUUAUGUAGCCUAUAUAAUUUACUUUGAUAUACAUGGAAGAAGACGUACUGAAAUAGUAGUGAAAGUUACUAGAUACAUCAACACUAACGCCCGUAUUCUAAAAGCUCACUCACACCCACACUCAAUGAGUGGAGGUUCAAUCUGAGCUUUUCUUGAGUGUCAAUGCUGUUUUUGAAUAGCUGGAGGGUGAGUAGUCACAUAGUAAGAUACGACACUAACCCUCAAGCUAUUCAAAAACAGCAAUGACACUUGAGAGAAGCUCAGAUUGAACCUCCACUCAUUGAGUGUGAAUAUGAGUGAGCUUUUAGAAUACGGGCGUAAGUUGCUAAUAUUGAUUUAGUAUAGAUAAAUCCAGCGACACAAUUUAAUCUCAGAACUUCUGCCUAUAUAUAGCCUAUGUAUUAUUGAAAAAUGAAAAUUUUGUUUAUCUCGAGGUUUAUCUAUACAAAACCACAGUAUAGUUAGUCAAGGGGUUUCCUUUGGCCUCGGUUGCUACAGUAUAGUGUCCGUGACUCAUAAGUUUAAAUAGUGUCUCGUUAAGUGUGGGUGUCUCGUUAAAUUAAGCAUAUACGAAGCGAGGAAUGCGAGGUUUUCGUAACAUCAAUCAGUAUCAAUCCUUUGAACAGCACUUCGUAUAUCCGCUAAUCCGCUUACUUAAUCAAAUCCUCAUUAAUUUAAUAUCAUUUUGGUAAAUUUACUCGAUUCUGAUUGAUUAAAAACUUUACCAAUUUUACGAGCUUGCGUGAAAGCCCAAAGAAGAAAAAGAAUAAAUCAGUAAAAAUUAUUCACAGUUUUUAUACAGGUAUGAAUUAAAAAUUAAUUAAUAUAAUUAUAAAAUUGAUAUUUCACAAUGGAGCGUAAUGCUGUGCUCACUGCUCACAAAACUACAUAUUUUUAAAAUGUUUCUUGCCAUUGAUUUCUCGUGUAAAAUUGACUACAAUGAUAUUAAUUGGAAAUUUCAUAUUUUGCCGAACAUGCACUAGGCUCAGAUUCCAGCCGUUGUGUUCUCGCCACUCGCCCACUUAACGGCUGACCGGGUCAAUGGUUAAUAUUUCUUGUCUGUGACGUCAAGGUUAAUAUUUAAAUUUAUGCAUAUGUUUUGCAUAAUUAUGUAUUUCUGUGCAAUGUAAAAUGGCGGCUGUCAGGAGCGAACAAUUUUGUUUCGAACAGGAAAUAGCAAAUUUUAACAACUUUGUGCAUUCAUCGAUAACUUUUUUGUAAAGGAAAACAAAAUGGAAGCUUUUAAGUUCAUUUGACAAAAUGUUAUUAAGUUCUAGUAUGUUUUUAACGAAGACAGGAACUGCAAUGUACACGAGUCAAUGAAUAUACAGUAUUAUAUAUCUAAAUAGUAAAACACUAAAACAAUAAACCCUACCAACAAAAGCAGGUGAAUCUGAAUAAUUAACGUCUUAUUUCAAACAAAUAGUUUUUCAAUGAAUAUUCUUUGAAGAGGAACAUAAAUUUAAUGUUAAUAUUUGAGUUGUUUAUAGACUAUAGUUAUACGUAAUGCAAUUUUACGCCUUGUGAUUAAUAUCUAAACAUUUUCCUUAUUGAUUUUGUUCGAGGGACAGUGAAGGAACUAAGUCUUUUAUACACCAAACAAUAGUCUGUCAAGAUACGAUCAUUAUGAUGGUCUGGAAGCCUGCAAACUUCAAAGCUACAAAAUAGAAGACCUACAGUAGUGUUUGAUGUUGAACUGUACCUUACUGUGCACCUUCAUAGAUUUGGUUAAACAGUCUUUUGAUGUAGCAAGAAUAUUUGAAAUUUAAAAUGUUCUUGGCUUUAUUUCGGUGUUGUAUAAGUUGUCUGUACAAAUGAAGGCGGGGUCUGCUCAUCGUCCCAUAUAUGGUUCAGUGUAUGACUGUUGACCAAGUCAGUAAUCAUUUGUAGCUACACACAGCAGUGGGGGGUAUUAUUGUGGUAAUGGUGACAGGAUAUUGCCUUUCCAAAUUAAAAAAAAAUGAUUUGAUGAAAUACCCCCCCCCCCACCCUUUUGCCAAUGUUAAGGGGGGUGCAUCCCCAUGGCAGUAAAUACAUCCAGGGAUGGAUCCAGCAUGAUCUGGUAGGGGGGUGCUCUGCCAGCUCUGGUGCCGAGUUGUGUCGGUCAUGUGUGCCACCCGCCCAUCAACUUGCUUCACUACUGCAAAGUCCUGCUUGACUACUGUAUAUAAAUUGUAAUUGUUGUUCACAUUUCACUUAUCAUCAUGUUAUUACUCAAAUUACUUUAUGUCAUUUUGUUUCUAAUAAUUUUUUGCUUUAUCAUGAAAAAUAGCACCCCCCCCCCUGGCCAGGGCAAGGGGGGUGCCCCCCCCCCCAGUAAAUCCAUCCCUGAAUACAUCUCUGCAGGAAUGCAAGAAGAAUUUGGCUUCUUUUCCCCCAUGAAAACUUAAUCCCCCAUGCCAGGAUAAUUUUGGUGUUUAACAUUUUGAUAUUUUCUAACUAAAGUUUACUGCAACAAAUUUUCUGAACCCUUGUUUAUUAGCUUAAAUAAAUAUUCAAUCUUUCAGAACUAGCAAUUUAUCAUGCUUCAUCAUUCUCAGUCUGGCUUUCAUAUGAACAGCCGUUAAAAACACACAUUGACAUGACAACUAUCCUUUUCUUAAUACCAUACUGACAAGGUUUCCAAAACUCAGCCUGAGAGCAAACAUAUUUGAGCUUGUUGAACAGACUAAAUGCAUAUUUCACUGAUGUCUGAAUUUAUAAAACAUUGCAUACUUUUAUUCCAUAAAUCCUCUACUUAGGCUAUCCAACAAGUCCCAUUCUUUGCCCCUUCACAACAAAGAAACACAUGAUACCAAUUGCAUGGAUUUAUUUAUUGCCCUUCAAAUAACUAUGUGCCCACAUUUAUUCAAUUAGUAUUCAUGGUAAAUCAUAUUGUCAAUAUAUAAAAUAAUAUUGAAUUUAUUGUGCUUGCCUGUAAUUAGGAAUUAGCAUAUAUGAGCACACUGAUAUAUCAGUUUCAGUUCACAAAUUACCUGCCCAGUCUAAAAAAUAUUGUCAAAUGGCCCAAACUAGCUUGUAGGAGAUCUAACCAUGCAAGCCUAUUAUUAGGCUUAUCUCUAUCCAUGAAAGGGCCUGUUUAUAAAAUCCCAGCUAGGCAGGAUGAGGCAGUUUCCAAGAUCCUGACUAUCAUAUCAACUCGUGUUCAAAAAUGCAUGUAUAUAUUUGAUGAACUCACUCACAAACUUGUAUAAACAUGACAUCCUAGCUGCCUGGCAAGGUUUCACACCUGACAGGACCAUAUAAACAUGUCUUAAUAUUAAUUAAAAUAAGCCUUUGCAAAUACUUUGCAAAAUAACAUUUUCUACUUUCCUGGCAAUAUGCCAGACCAGCACAAUAAUAAACACAUCCAGGUUUAGGCCACUACAAGUUAAUCUUUAGUUUCUGGUCCGGCCUUACCUUCGUUUACGAUGCGGGCGGGCGGGUGGUUAGGACUAUAGGACAUAAUUACAAUUGUGGCUUUGUGAUUGUGGCUUUGCCCUCAUUUUUGUGGUCUUUCUUGUCCCUUUUCAUGCUAAUUGUAUCAAAAUGUUAUGAAAUUUUACAUAAAUUACAUUUAUAUCUUUUAUAAAUCGACAUGUAUGACAGAUUACAAAGGAUUUUACAUAUCAAAAUGAUCUACCAAUAUUUCUAGUUUUAUUUACCUCGUAAUAUCGAUAAGGCAGCGGUUUUUACAAUUCAAUACUACAUUUUGCUCGGUCUUUUUAGUGUAAAUUGAAUAUUUAUCGUUCUAUAAGUUAAAUCCUUCGCGAAAAUUUUCAAGAACCAGAAAUUAAUUGUAAACAACAAAAUAGUCCUGAAAUAAUACUUUACGGAGAAAGGACGCGGGCGGCGGACCAGAAACUAAAGAUUAACUUGUAGUGGCCUUACUGUAAAUAUAAUUAUAAAUGUCCAACUGAAUCAGCAGAAACAGGGAGGGUUUCAAAGGACUAGGCCACCUAGCUAACUAAGCUAAAAAAAAGAAAGGUUAUUAAUUUUGCUAAGCCACACGCAAAAUAUUCUUUGCCCUUUCAUGACCAAGAAUCCUCAAUGAGAUAUAUUAUUUAUAAACACAAUAUAAAAAUAUGCAACGGAUUCGAAAACAUUCCAGCGACUAUUAUUCGUAGAGAGACUUCGGUUCGUGUCGUAAAAAUCGUCGGAAUUACUCUUCCCCCAAAAAUGUCGCUUUAACCCAUCCAUGUAGUUCACGUAUAAAUAUCGUUGGACAGAUCUUUUUAAGUGCACAUAUUUGCAGUGCUGUAGAACUAAAUUUACCAGAAGGGGGGCUCUCUUGACGAGCGUGAAGCCGUGAAAUCGUAAAAAAAUGCGUGACGCCAGGGAUCGCGGAGGCAUUUUUUGACGGGGGAGGGUUAGCGAACGCCAAAGGUAUGCCCUUCUGGAGGGGGGCGCAGAAAAUUUUGAAAUAUGAGACCUCUCAGAGCCCCGGAAAUGCAAUAAAACAUGCUAUUUUUUCUUAAAAAUGUUUCUUGAACGACUCUUAAGCAAGCCAUUAUAUAGGGGUAAAAUUUAUUUGCUUAGUACAUUUUCCUUGAAUAGAUUUUUUCUUCGAAAUUUAAUGCCGUAUUUAAGAGUAAUUUAAAUUGCAUUUUCCAUACUUACCGUCCCUACCUUUCUCAAAAAUGCUUUUCUGGAAAGUGCGAGCCCAUUAAUACAUAACAAGAAAAUAAUAAAUGGAAACAAACCCCAGUCCAGCGUAUUAAUGAAGACUGAACUAAUGUACAUAAUUAUGUGCAAGGAAUAACUUAAAGUAUUUUAAAAAGUCUAUGAUAGUCCAAACCGACUAAUCCUGCUGAAGUUUAUUAAAAUCAAAAUUAAAUAUUUUUGUUAAGAUUGCAAAUGAGAUCCUGGUGGGGGGGGGGGGGCUAAAUCCCUCCAGGUCCCCCUAAUCCGCGGUCCCUGAUGACGUCAUAGAUGUUCAAAAAUACAGAGCCUUAAUGCAUAAUUAUAUGAAACACUGAAGCAAGAUAAAGUAUCGAUUUAUUAAGGACGCAAUUUUAAUAAUUUUGAUUCUCCUUCAUGGAAAAGUAGCCAAGUUUUAUUUAAUAGUGUUCUUGAUAAAUUCUCGAUUUCCUAAAGUAGAAGGGGGGCUCAGCCCCCCCAGAGCUUGAAGAAGGGGGGCUCCGCCCCCAAGCGACCCCCCACUUCUACAGCACUGCAUAUUUGCACAACGCCGUCCUCGAACGCUUCAGCAAUGCGCUUUUAGCCAUAUUUAAUUUAUUACCUUUGUGUUAAAUUUAUGCAUUAUUAAUACAAAUUUAUGCCUCCCAAAUUUUGGGGGGCUGUAAUGUGAUUGGUCAAUCAGAACAAUGCCGAAGCUCAUUGACCCAGCCGUUAAGUGGGCGAGUGGCGAGAACACAACGCGUACGGCUGGAAUCUGAGCCUAAACAUGCACGUGUGCGAUUUCUCAUUAAUACUUCUCGAACUGCGUAAUUUCCUAUAGUACUAUACUAAUUUUAUUGUUCUCUGUAAAUAGUUAAUUCCAAAUAUAAUUUCAAUAUUUGUUUGCUUUAUUUGAAGUUCCAAGAGCAUCUGUUUUUAUAGUGAUCUAUUCAUUAACAGCCAUAUUUUUGAGAUCAGUGAGAAGGUCCACCCAUUAAUAAUAAUAAUAAUAUGAUAAAGCGCUUUUUACAUAUAAUGAUCAAAAGCGCUGUAUUACAAUAUAACUAAUGUUAAAAGCGUAAUAAAAUGUUGAAAUGUUAACUUUAAUAUAAACUAAAUACUAAAAGCUAGUUUAAAAAGAUGAGUCUUAAGACAAGUUUUAAAAACGCUUAUUGACGAAAUGUCACGAAUUUCGUUCGGAAGUUCAUUCCAAAGUUUCGGAGCUGCCACAGUGAAAGAUCGGUCGCCAAAUGACCGUAAAAAUUUACCCUAGGGAACUCUAGCAUUAUGCUAUCAUUAGAGCGUAAAAGGUAGUUUCCUUCCACUUUGACAACAAGUAGAUCUACCAUGUACUUUGGAGCCAUUCCAUGUAAAGCUUUAAAAGUAAGCAAUAGCAGUUUAAAAUGGAUCCUGAACUUCACAGGUAACCAGUGUAGUUCACGUAAUCAGAUAGGUGUAAUGUGAUCGUAUUUUCGUGUUGAAGUCACUAAUCUUGCAGCGGCGUUUUGAACCCUCUGCAACUUAAUCAGUUCAGUAUUAGGUAAACCAUACAGGAGACCAUUACAAUAAUCUAGUCGACUUGUAACAAAGGCAUGUAUAACAGUCAACAGAUUUUCCCGAGAUAAAAACUUGCUGAUGCGUUUGAUAUUGUGAAGCCAAUAGAAUGCGGCACCACAUGUCUUUGUUAUAUGACAUGACAUUGAUAAAUUUGAAUCAAGCCAAACUCCUAGAUCACGAGCUAUUGGUACAGGAAGGACAUCAGCAUUCCCGACACGUACAUGGUGUAGGUUAAGUUUCUGCAGUUGUUGCUUAGAUCCAAUUAUUAGCAGUUCAGUUUUACCGUCAUUUAGUUUCAAUUUUAUGUCUUGAAUCCUCCAUUUCCGAAGAUCGUUGACACAGCUUUCCAUUACCGAGAUCGCUUCACAUUGAUCGCAUGGGUAGUCAGGUUUGAAUGACACAUACAACUGAGUGUCAUCAGCAAAACCAUGUGAAUCUGGCGAGUGAUUGUUAAUAAUAUCAUGAUUGCAGGUAUUCCCUUUGUUCUCGCAGGGCAAUUAAUAACUAAUACACCUCAUUAUAUUCAUUUUUUCUAAUCCUACCCGCUUUUACGUCAUGUCAGGUAGAAUUAGUUCUAAUCCUACCCGAAACAACGUCAAAGCGGGUACGAUUAGAAAAAAUGAAUAUAAAUGAAGAUAUCUGAAAUCGCCAAAACUAAACAAAGACAGGGAAAACAAUUAUACCAUUAUAUGCCCUGCCAGAACAACGGGAUUAAAUGACCCUCAUCGAGCGGCGCACAAGGGAAUUACAACGGGACUAAAUGACCCUCAUCGAGCGGCGCCCAAGGGAAUUAUACUAAACGACCCUCAUCGGGCGGGACGUUUUAAUAGCUAAUUCGCUUCUUUUUAUGCUAUUACUUAUAAUAAUAUCGAACAGUUUGGAGGCAUAUAAUAUAAAAAGAAGAGGCCCCAAACACGAACCCUGCGGGACACCAAAGUUCAAAUCAGAUGAAUCAGAAAGGGUACCAUUUAGCAUAACACGUUGACUUCGACCAGACAAAUAGGAAGAAAACCAACUGAGAACUUUUCCACGUAUUCCAAAUUUUGACCUUAACCAUUCCAGCAAAAUUCCAUGAUCAAUUGUGUCAAGAGCGGAACUUAGGUCCAGAAGAACCAAGAGAGUGACACGUUGACUGUUCAUGCUUAACAUAACGCAACUUAGGUCCAGAAGAACCAAGAGAGUGACACGUUAACUUGUUCAUGUUCAACAUUAAACAUAGCCACGCGCCCGCGAUUAUUGAGGAAUGAAAUUGACUUCGCUAAUGACCAAGUUUUCUAACAGAACGAUAACGUUAAUAAAUGUAAAAUUUUACUACAAUGCUAGAGUCUAGGAACACUGAGUCUGAAAACAGUUCAUUUCGCUUCCCUUGAGUGCAUCACAAUGGAUGAUUCCAGCUAUAAACUAAAUUUUGAUCUAGGCAAGGAGAACAAAAUCCAUCACCACAGCUAGAAAGAGCAUAUUAAAAUUAGUAAAAUUGCAAAGUUUGGCCGCGAAGUGUUGUAAACUGCGGAAACGAAAUUUGCAAAUUUUGUAUUUUAAUUUGUAUUACGUACUUUUGUGAUCAAUAGCGUUCAGAUUACGAUGCUCUAAUGAGUGAUGAAAUAACUUGGGUCCAUUGGCAUUGCCAUCCAUUGCAUCCCAUUUUUUUUAUUUCCUAAUUGCAGUCACUUAAAGUCUUAAAAUAGUAAUUUUUGUAAAUAAAUGGUUCAAAUUUGAACGGUAAACCAUCGCUCGAAAGCUAUAAGGCUAGUACGCUUGAUGAAUCAAAACAUAAUAAUCAUAAUCGUUUUACUGUCGUUCCAAUUGAAGUGUUCCUCAAAUAUUGAUUCAAUACAUUACCUCAGGCUGACCAAUUCAUUUCAUCAAGUUCCUCGAGAUAUUCAUACACUUCCUGUUGAAAGAGCUAAUUCCAUGUAUUUGAUCUUUUCUGGUCACUUCCUUUCUAUUUAUGAUUGGUUAGUUGCACAAACAACAAAGGUGAUUGGUGCAUUCAAACUAUUCAACAGGAAGUUUACAAUUAUACUAGGAAGUGUAUGAAUAUUUCGAGGAACUUGAUCAAAUGAACUGGUCGUCAGCCCGAGGUAAUGUAUUGAAUCAAUAUUUGAAGAACACUUCAAUUGGAACGACAGUAACUCUUUUAUUCUUUCCAACGCCCUACAUUGAAAUCAUAUAGGAAAACAAUAACUGCUAGAACAUAGAUGCAAUAUAAAUUUAUUAGUGAGUAUAUUCAUAUAAAUUUACAAAUAAUAUGACGACAAUUACAUAAGCGAAAUUCAAAGACGAAAAUUUAGGAUAUAUUUGUAACAUAUAUUAUUGAAAUUGAAAAGUGAAAAAGUGAGAUUAUAGUUGUGGGGAUAGCCAAGGAAAAUAUAUGAAAACCUCUACACUGACCUCUAUGCAUGGUUAUAUAUAUUUUUUAAUAUCAUCUCACAAAACCAAUAAAUAGUAUAAGAAACGAGUCCUGAAGCACAGCCGACAGAUCUUGCUCACUUCAUUUUCUUUGCUUUACAGGUAACCUGAAAUGAGAAGUUGGCGUGUGACGCAAUCGAUUUUGUGACUUGAAUUGAUUUGAUAUUUCAUAAACAUUCUUUCCAAUAUAUAUAACUUUAAUUAAUAUUUAAUUGACAACUCUUACAACACCAUAUAAUAUCUUUUAGUAUAUAACUAGUAUACUUAUCAGUAGUAAAUGCUGACUUGCUCCUUAAUUAAUUUGACGAUAUAUGAAACACGGCCUCAUCCAGUGCUUCCAUAACCGCUUGUUCAAAAAUCCUUUUACAAUCUCCAAAAUUCCUUUUUUCCCAUAAAAUUUCCCUGCCACCCAAACGGUGGAAAAAAUCAAGAAAAUUCAGGCAAUUUGAGGCAAAUAUAUCAUGGACCCUGCGAGAAAUUGAGUAUCAUUACAUUGCCUGAAAUGUUGGGCAAGCUUUCAAGAGUUCCCUCCAUGAAAGUAUCUGCUCCACAUAUGUUUAUGCUCAUUCAGUGGCGUAGGGUGCUUGAUAAUUUGUGGAGGGAUCGGAUGGCAGAAGGUGCUAAACGACAAAUUUUGAAAUUUAUAGUCUCUAAAUCGCCGGAAAUGGCAUUUUCAAAUCUUCCGUACCUCUUUUGUUAGGCCUAUACUAUCAUUUUUACUGGUUUAAGUGGUUUUAGACUUGUAACUGGUAUAAGUUACAGAAAUCCUUGCAAUUUCCUUUAAUUUUUGUAUUUUUCCUUGUAAAUUUCAUUUCUUUGCAUGCAAAUUCCUUGCAAGGACCAAUAUUUCCUUGCUGCAAGGAAAAAUCCUUUAAAGUGGAAGCACUAGCCUCAUCUUUCCAUAUUAACAACCCCAGUUUAAAUACAAUCGUAACUAACCCAUCGUAACUGUAAGCUCAAUUGUUGUGACGUCAUUAUUGUAAAUAUUAUGAAUAAAUCCUUGUUUCGGU